GGGGAAUUUUGGACAAUGGGGGCAACCCUGAUCCAGCCAUGCCGCGUGAGUGAAGAAGGCCUUCGGGUUGUAAAGCUCUUUCGGCCGGGAAGAAAUCGUGCAGGCUAAUACCCUGUAUGGAUGACGGUACCGGAAUAAGAAGCACCGGCUAACUACGUGCCAGCAGCCGCGGUAAUACGUAGGGUGCGAGCGUUAAUCGGAAUUACUGGGCGUAAAGCGUGCGCAGGCGGUUUUGUAAGACAGGCGUGAAAUCCCAGAGCUCAACUCUGGAACUGCCUUUGAUACUGGGUGUCUUGAGUAUGGAAGAGGUAAGUGGAAUUCCGAGUGUAGAGGUGAAAUUCGUAGAUAUUCGGAGGAACACCAGUGGCGAAGGCGGCUUACUGGUCCAUUACUGACGCUGAGGUGCGAAAGCGUGGGGAGCAAACA
rnacentral:rRNA from 1 species